rnacentral:rRNA from 1 species
UACAGAGGGUGCAAACGUUGUUCGGAAUUACUGGGCGUAAAGCGCGUGUAGGCGGCCCUGCAAGUCGGAUGUGAAAUCCCACGGCUCAACCGUGGAAGUGCAUUCGAAACUGCAGGGCUAGAGUCCUGGAGAGGAAGGUGGAAUGCUUGGUGUAGAGGUGAAAUUCGUAGAUAUCAAGCGGAACACCGGUGGCGAAGGCGGCCUUCUGGACAGUGACUGACGCUGAGACGCGAAAGCGUGGGGAGCAAACAGGG